UACGAAGGGGGCUAGCGUUGCUCGGAAUGACUGGGCGUAAAGGGCGCGUAGGCGGAUGGCACAGUCAGAUGUGAAAUUCCCGGGCUUAACCUGGGGGGCUGCAUUUGAUACGUGUUGUCUUGAGUUCGGAAGAGGGUCGUGGAAUUCCCAGUGUAGAGGUGAAAUUCGUAGAUAUUGGGAAGAACACCGGUGGCGAAGGCGGCGACCUGGUCCGACACUGACGCUGAGGCGCGAAAGCUAGGGGAGCAAACAGG
rnacentral:rRNA from 1 species